rnacentral:rRNA from 1 species
UACGUAGGGUGCAAGCGUUGUCCGGAAUUAUUGGGCGUAAAGAGCUCGUAGGCGGUUCGGUAAGUCGGGUGUGAAACCUCCAGGCUCAACCUGGAGAGGCCACCUGAUACUGCUGUGACUCGAGUCCGGUAGGGGAGCGUGGAAUUCCUGGUGUAGCGGUGAAAUGCGCAGAUAUCAGGAGGAACACCAGCGGCGAAGGCGGCGCUCUGGGCCGGAACUGACGCUGAGGAGCGAAAGCGUGGGUAGCAAACAGG